rnacentral:lncRNA from 1 species
UCACAGCUCGUGCCUUUCUUUAUUAUUAACCCAGCCCCUGUUUUUCUGCACAGAUUGCAGAGCUGCUGCCAGAGGGACACGGAGGAGCCUCCAAAGAACUUCCUGGUGGCUGCCUGAGCAAAGCUCUGCCAACCUGUCAGUCCAGCCAUGCAAGAAGAGAGGGAGAGAGACAGAGCAAAAGAAAAGAGGGAGUGAAGCAGAGAUUCUUUCAAACCUCAGCGGGACAUUAAGAUUUCCAAUGAACAAAGAAAACAACCCCUGGCACC